rnacentral:rRNA from 1 species
AACGAACGCUGGCGGCAUGCCUAACACAUGCAAGUCGAACGAGACCUUCGGGUCUAGUGGCGCACGGGUGCGUAACGCGUGGGAACCUGCCCUUAGGUUCGGAAUAACUCCCCGAAAGGGGUGCUAAUACCGGAUAAUGUCUUCGGACCAAAGAUUUAUCGCCUUUGGAUGGGCCCGCGUUGGAUUAGCUAGUUGGUAGGGUAAAAGCCUACCAAGGCGACGAUCCAUAGCUGGUCUGAGAGGAUGAUAAGCCACACUGGGACUGAGACACGGCCCAGACUCGUACGGGAGGGAGCAGUGGGGAAUAUUGGAGAAUGGGCGAAAGCCUGAUCCAGCAAUGCCGCGUGAGUGAUGAAGGCCUUAGGGUUGUAAAGCUCUUUUACCCGGGAUGAUAAUGACAGUACCGGGAGAAUAAGCUCCGGCUAACUCCGUG